rnacentral:lncRNA from 1 species
AUUUUUUUAUCUGUCUUCUCCCCAUCUAUACUGAUUGAAGUGGAUUUAACAAGUGACAUCAAUAAGGGAUCAUAGAUUUCACCUGGAUUCACCUGGUCAGUCCAUUUAACGGAAAGAGCAGGUGUUCUUAAUAUUUGUACACUCAGUGUAUAUGAAGCAAUAUUGUGAGAAUUAUGCUACAUCACUUCAAAAGGCAAAUUUACCAAAAAAUAUAAGUAAUCAAAAAAUUUAUAUUGAGCACUAUUUGAAAUCAGUGUUAUUAUCAUGCUAAAACAUUGAUUUAAUAUCGGGUUUAAAACGAAUAACUUGCCUCAGUAAUAUCGGAGUUGUAUUUCAUGGGGACGGUUGAGAGGAAAGGGGCAUAUUUCCUUUAGACCGGAGAGUCAGUCAAGACGCAUAUACCAUUUCUAUCCAAGCCGUUUGCAGAGAUAGUGCGCUCACUGCACUGAGAGCAGCGGUCACAAGUCAAGUCCGUCUCGGCAAGUCAAUUUUGUAUCUACGGUGGGGCGAGUUUGGCAGAGAAAUUAUACAAGCCAUGAGUGUUGGAGAAGAUAAGAAAACUGAUGCAUUGCUGAACAGAGAACUAUUUGGAAGAAAUUGAAGAUUUCAAGGACGCACGGAUUUGAAUUUAACUGGAGGGGCUGAGAGCUGAGGGGAAGAGUGACAUAAAGAAGAGAGAAGUUCAUUAUCCAGCUGAAAAGGAAACCAAUGGCUUUCACAGUCUCCAUGGGAACCGGCCUUUCUUUUGCUGUCAAACCUAUGAUAAGAAACCCUCUCCUUUCUCCCGUUCCAAGGCAGCCCUUUUCAAACCGGGAAGCUCCAGGCAGGAUCAGGGAGGCAGGAGCAGCCGUCCCUCUAGUCCCUGUCUCAGCCCAGCCGCUGGGGUCUGCAUGGGGCUGGGAAAGCCACCCCCUCGUCAGUCCUCUCCGCGAACCCAUCCUCAUCCCAGGUUCCCCUCCCCCUGCCUCUGGCCCUGUCGUCUGGGAGCCCCCGAAGGUGUGA